ACAGAUAAUGAGAAAGCAUGCCUCAAAAGGUCAGUGGGCAUGAGGCCAGCAUUUGCCCAUCCCUAAUGGACAAGACCAGUGGUCAGAAACUAUCCCUCCCUCAAAGGCCAGAACCAGUUGCUUGUUGGUCCUUGAGCUAAGAAUGGUUGUGAGCUUUUCGAAGGACUGAGCCAAGACAUUGUUUACAUUUUAAAAGGUUGUUUAAACAUAAAGGAGAAAUCUGUGACAAGACCAUGGACGGCCCACAAAGCCUAAAAUAUUUACCAUCUGGCCCUUCACAACAAGUUCUCCAACCCUGCACCAGGCCAACACCCCUAUUUUGGCUUCUGUUACAGGUGGCACCCCACUUUUAAGUGCUACAUUCUGAAUUCACUAGGACUGGGCACUACCCAGAAUGGUUUACAUCAGUGGCUGACACCCCACUGAGCAGCACGUGACCACAUGGCCACGCCGAGGAACAGGGGAGGACGUGAAAUGUCAUCCUCAUCUGGGCAACUAUAAAAAAUCACUUUGCUAUGGAAGAAAGGAAUAAUGAAUAUUGAGAACCAGCAGAGUUUGCCAUAACACCUACCCCUCCAGGAAAGUGGUGAGGGCUACAUGAACUAAGGCCCAGGAGGUCAGCUGACACCCCUUCCUUCACCAACGACAAGCAAGCCCAUCUAUCAUUGCUUCAGUGAAAGUAUCUGGCCGAACAUCAAACGGACUCCAUGCAAGCCUUUCUGGCUCUGGUUUUCCGAAAGCUUUAGCAAUUCAAAAAUUUACAGGGUUUUUGGAGGAAGUUAAAGAGUGGGAGAAGUCCUGUCUACCCCUGACCUCCUUGCCAGGAUGCAGUGGCAAGACUGGCGGCAACAGCAGCAGAGAGGCACCCCCAACCCCCCCACCCCAGAAGACUCCUCUCUCCAGGCAGAGGAGGAAGAGUAAUGGAGAGAACCCUCAUUGUAACUAUUCUCUCUGGCCUCUUUACCCAGAGAGCAGACCCAGUGGUACAGAGCUGCAUGAGAACACAGGAA